CAUGAGAAAAAGAAGAUCAUGGGGGACCAAUGGUCACCGCUUAGGGAUUGUUUUCUAUAUAGAGGGAGCAAGUAGCUACAAGUAGGACAGUGUGGCUUUAAACAAGGAUUUGGGCUUGCUUUCCUCAUAAUUCCAUAUAAUAUUAUACACUGCCAUAAAAUCUUAAUUAGAAACAUCUCCAUGAAAUAUACCUGUAAUCGUGUCUGUAUUGUAUGGUCUGGUUAUACAUGUAUUGUUGAUAUAUCAUAAUCCUAAACAAAUAGUAUUCAGUUUUUAACAUCAUAGAGUAUUCAAUAUUUUAAAAAGUCAUAGUUUAUGCUAAACAUACUUUUACAAAAGAUACAGGGUUGAAUAGAUAGAGUUAGUAGCUUUUCUUUGUCAAAUUGCAAAGCUUGCCAGUUAAUGAUCGAAAGUUUCUGUUUAAAUUUGAUGGAAAUCUUUUUUUUCCAAUGUUGCAUUUGAUUGUACGUUGGAUAUCUACAUGUACCAGGGUUAAUAUAUUAAUGAAAUAUCAGUAAUAUAUAUGCUGUACAUAUUUUGACCUCGUUUAAUUUACUUACGAACAUGGUAAAUUACAUUCCUUUUCUGGGUAUUAUUACUUUUAAUUUAAUUGCUUUUCAUUACUUGGUGUUAUACAAAGUUCAACAUUUUUUCAUUCUUUUUCUUCCCCUCAUUUUAAAACACCAAUCCUCAUUGAACCUCCUCCUCUUUCUCUCUCUCUCUCUCUCUCUCUCUCUCUCUCUGUCUCUCUGUCUCUCCCUCCCUCUCUCUCUCUCAUCGGUCCUCACUCACUCACUCUCUCCAUCUCCCUCAGAGAGAGAGAGGGACUCCCUCUCUUGGUUUUCUGUUUCUCAGCAUCUAUAUCUUACCUGCCUAUCCUUCUCUCUUACUCACAUCUUGGUCUUUUCAAAAUAGCCCUAUGUGUCAAUUUUUCUUUUUAUAAACGUUUCUUUGAUCGACUCUUUUCACAAUUCUGAAUAACGAACUCAAUAUUUCCUGCCACCAACACAUCUGUUUGAAAAAUCAGCAAAUAUGUUUUCCUUCACAGAAUUGUCCACUUUGUAAAUGAAUUACCUGGUUUAAUUUAAAUAAUUACUGUUGGGCAUUUAAAUAUAUCCGAGUAAUGAUGUAAUGCUGCCAUGUUGUAUUUUGCUUGUCAAAUAGCAGUACCAUUCGCCAUACUUAUGACCGUGUAUUUUGUUGUAUUGGUGUUUAUAUUGUGUUUUUUAUUAUUACUGCAGCUCUGUAGGCUAGCUGUCAUGUCAUAAUCUGUAUUACAAUUUCCUAUGAAAACAUACCUUGAGUCUAUGUGUUGCCAUAAUGUUAAUUGCCAGAAUCGUCUGUGUAUUUGUAGACAAACAGAAGUAUUUUCAUAUUUAUUGCAAUAGGGAGCAUAUCAAAAUAAAUGUGUAGAACCAUA